rfam:Ehrlichia muris AS145, complete genome.
GCCGGCUUAGCUCAAUUGGUAGAGCAUCUGAUUUGUAAUCAGAGGGUUAUGAGUUCAAGUCUUAUAGCCGGCA